GACGAACGCUGGCGGCGUGCUUAACACAUGCAAGUCGAACGGAAAGGCCCUGCUUUUGUGGGGUGCUCGAGUGGCGAACGGGUGAGUAACACGUGAGUAACCUGCCCUUGACUUUGGGAUAACUUCAGGAAACUGGGGCUAAUACCGGAUAGGAGCUCCUGCUGCAUGGUGGGGGUGGGAAAGUUUCGGCGGUUGGGGAUGGACUCGCGGCUUAUCAGCUUGUUGGUGGGGUAGUGGCUUACCAAGGCUUUGACGGGUAGCCGGCCUGAGAGGGUGACCGGCCACAUUGGGCCUGAGAUACGGCCCAGACUCCUCCGGGAGGCAGCAGUGGGGAAUAUUGCACAAUGGGCGGAAGCCUGAUGCAGCAACGCCGCGUGCGGGAUGACGGCCUUCGGGUUGUAAACCGCUUUCGCCUGUGACGAAGCGUGAGUGACGGUAAUGGGUAAAGAAGCACCGGCUAACUACGUG
rnacentral:rRNA from 1 species